UUUAGACUAGACUUCUAAUACAGUUAGACUUCUAACAGCAUCUUUAGUAGAUAAUUUUACUGAUUCUAAUAUUUGUUAGUUAAUUAGUUAAAAACAAAAAUCUUAGUUUUUUAACUUAGAACUUGAUCAAGCUUGUCUUCUUAGUGGUACUGAACAGUUAUAGCUAAGCCUCAGUUCUCUGUGAGAUUCGACUCUGGACUCUUAGAUCGGAUUAUAAUUUGCACAAACCGCUUAUCUUUUUUAGUACUAGAGUUUGGCGUAAUCAUAAUGUAUAAGAAUAUUUCUGUUCAACUUCCUCAAUUUACGAACUCUCAUGGCAUGAUCCAUCAGAAAUCUUUUCCGUACACCUCAUAACUAAGGUGGUAGAGAGGAAACAUAGAUUCACAUGGCUUCCUCAACCAUCCAACAUAAGGUUCUACAAACCAUUUUAUUUAUGCAUCUACUUCUAUAUUUCAUUUCUCCUUUUUUGGGAAACAUAUGCUUUUAAAACGUAAUCCCUAAAAAAGAUAAAAUAACUCCUUGUGCUAUCUAAAACUUCUACUACAUCGAUACCACACCACUCUUUAUCGAUGCAAGCACCUAAUCAGAUCCAACCCUGAACUACGUCCAACAGGUGCUAUGGAAUGUCCCUUCCAUGUAGUCGUUCAUUGUUGUUCAUUCACAAUGGUUUAAAAGCAAAAAGAGCAAAAAGCAACAAGGCCUAUUGGGUUCAAGCGAAUA
rnacentral:lncRNA from 1 species